UCCGGUCAUAAACAACACAAUAUCAUUAUAUGAGUAGAAUGGAGAUGAUUUUGGGAUUUAAACCUUAAAGUCCUAAAUUCCCUAAAGUUGUCAUACAUUAAUAUAAUUGGGGAAACUAUUAUCCUAAUCUAACUAAUGUUGUCGUGCAUAUUUAUUUGGGCGACUAGAAGUGGUAACUAAUCUAAAAGUUAAGCUGCUAAAAGAACCCACUUGAGAUUGAUAACAACACCGAGUCAUUGUGCAUGCUCAAAAUCAUCUGAUAGUGCCGCUCGCAUAUGCAAAUUCCGUGACAGAUUUUUCUGCAUAAUUCAGGUUCAGACCUCCAACUUUGAAAUUGUCUCCAGAACUCGUUACUCCUCCAAAAAUGACAGAACCAGCACCUAAACGACCGUAAUUGAGUUAGUUUCACACAGAAUCAAACCCUACUAAAUUUAGAGUUACAAGGAGACAUUUAUUACCGUGCAAGUGCAGAUCUAUACCAACACGAAUUCUGCAGAAACACCGCUUCAGACCCUCAACUUUAAAAGAGCUCAAUAUUAGUCCUAAAUUCGUGAACUUAGUGUCGAAACGACCGAAAUUUCGUUAGUUAUCCAUAGAAACAAACCCCAUACGAAUCAGAGUUACAGAGAGUGAUAAAUUACCUUUUUAGUGCAGGUAUCUCCUUGAAUACAGGUUUCCAUCUCAAAAUUCCAACUUUCUCUUCUAACAUUCAAGCUUGUUGAUCUCAUAAUCCUACAUGAAUUUGUGAAGAAAAAC
rnacentral:lncRNA from 1 species